GUCUUGGAGCUGGUAGAGGAUAUUAAGAAAUCCUUUAAGAAAAAUAUAGAUGCGACCAAGUGGAUGUCAAAAUUCACCAAGCGUGCUUCAAAGGAAAAGGUUGAUAAAAUGGGAGUGGAAGUAGGUUACCCUGAAGAAAUAUAUAACGAUGCGCUUUUAAACUCAGUUCAUAAGCAAUUUUCCAUUACCCCUGAGAGUCCAUUCACAACAGCCGUAAGCAUGUCUAAAGCAGAAAUGGUCCGCGAAGCACAAUUACUACGGGAACCUGUUUUUAA